rnacentral:lncRNA from 1 species
AGCAGCCCUUGGCUUUCCAUCCCAUGUGCAGCCUCUGGCCCAGCACUUAGUCCACUCUCAGUCAUAGAGCUUAUCACACAGACUUGCUCCAGUGCCCACUUGUCCAACUGCCCCAAACUCCUGGAAACCAGAAAGAACACAGAUGUAUCUCAACUGAGUGCCUACCAUAUUUCUACAGGAGGAACUGUCUUCGCAUAAAAGCCCCUCUGCAGCUCCUUAAGCCCCCACCACCACGGAAGGAAUAUACUUCCUCACCCUGUUGAUAUUGCACUUGGCCACGUGACUUGCUUUGGCCAUGAGAAUAUGUGUGGAAGUCACAGGGGCCAGGCCCAAGGCACAAAGUGUUUCCAUUCAUCCCUUUGAGCAACUGUCCUCGGCCAUGAGAACCACAAGUCCCAGACAGUGGAGGCUCCUUCAGCCUGGACUCCAAAUGAGAAGAUAUAUGAGACAGCCACCUACUCACCCCAAAGCCUGGAGCCCAGCCCAGCUAGCCCCAGAAAGCCCUGCAGAGCCCCAGCUUGACCCACAGACCCCUGGGCAAGAAGUGAAUGUUUACUGCUGUAAGCACCAGGCUUCUGGAAGUUGUCUUUUAUGCAUCAUUGUCACAGCAAAAUCUGACCAAUGUGGAUCCCUGGCUCACUCCUUAUAUUGAUUUUAGCUUGGGUCUUGAGCGAGGAUUUUCUUUUUUUUUCUUUUUUAUUAUUAUUAUUUUUUUCGAUACAGUGUCUCACUCUGUCACCCAGGCUGGAAUGCAAUGGUGCGAUCUCGGCUCACUGCAACCUCCGCCUCCCUGGUUCAAGCAAUUCUUCUGCUCCCCAUCGCUCGAAUUACCACCUGAGCUCUGCUUCCUGUCUGAUCAGCAGCAGCAUUUGAUUCUCAUAGGAGUGCGAACUCUUGUGAACUGCGCAUAUCCUACUGAUGCUUCAAUUGCCUCAUCUUUGGUCAACAAGAGCCUCUUCAAGACAUUGGCUUCUGAGCCCUUUUGACAUGACACUAUAGCUUUAUUGCUUUCUGGAAUGAAAAAGUCUUCUUGGUUCAUCUUGUAUAUUUUUUGCUCCAGACCUUGAAUCAGCUAUUUCUCCUAGGAGCCCUGGUUCUUUUGUGGGAAAUGGUAUUUUGAUAUUGCAACCUUUUCUCUAGGGGUGCUCCCCUGUUGCGCAGACGGGUGUGCAGUGUUGUGAACAUGGCUCACUGCAGCCUCAAUCCCCUGGGCUCAAGCAAUCUGGCCACCUCAACCGUUUGAACAGCUGGGGCCACAGGCGUGCACUACCACGCCUGGCUAAUUUUCCUUCAAUUUUUUUUUUUUUGCAGAGACAAGGUUUCACUAGGUUGGCCAGGUUGGUUUUGAACCCCUGGGUUCAAGUGAUCCUCCUGUCUCAGGCUUCUGAAGUGCUGGGAUUAUAGGCAUGAGCCACCAUGCCCAGCCUAGCAAUAUAUUCUGAAGAUCACUCUACUACAGUAUACAAAGAUAGCUCUCAUUCCAUUUUAUGGCUUCAUAGUAUUCCACUGUGUAAAUAUAUCAUAAUUUAUUCACAUAAUCCCCUGUUGAUGGAUGUUUGGGUAGUUUCUAGCCCCUUGUUAUUACAAUGAGUGCUGUAACAAAGAGGCUUGUGUCAGACAUUUGCCAGAGUAUUUUUGGGAUUGACUCAUGGAAGUUGUAUUGCUAAGUAAAUGCAUCUGUAAUACUGGCUUUUGAGAUCCUAGCCCAAGAAUGCUUUCUUUUUUAUUAGUUAUUUUUUAAAUAGCAAAAUCUAUCAAAACUCUUUUCACUGUAAAUUGACAAUUUAUAGCUGUAUAAAUUUGUGAGGUACAAAGUGAUGUUAUAAUGUAUGAAUACAAUGUGGAAGAAUUAAGUCAAGCUAGUUAACACAUCCACAGCCUCAAUAAGAAUACUAUCUGUGUGAGCUUUUUUCACACUACCUCUCUGUGCCUCAGUUUCUGAUCUGCAAAAUGGGGAUAAUAACAGUAUUUACCUCAGGGAGUUGUUGGGAAGACUAUAUGGGCUAGUUGUUUUAAAGUGUUUAGAAUAGACUGGGCAUGGUGGCUCAUGCCUGUAAUCCCAGCACUUUGGGAGGCCAAGGUGGGCGGAUCACUUGAUGUCAGGAGUUCGAGACCAGCCUGGCCAACAUAGUGAGACCCCUGUCUCUAUUAAAAAUGUAAAAAUUAGGGCCAGGCAUGGUGGCGCAUGCCUGUAAUCCCAGCACUUUGGGAGGCUGAGGUAGGCAGAUUGUCUGAGCUUGGGAGUUCAAGACCACCUUGGGCAACAGGGUGAAACCUUGUCUCUGCUAAAAAAAAUACAAAAAAUUAGCUGGACAUGGUGGCGGGCACCUGUAGUCCUAGCUACUUGGGAGGCUGAGGCAGGAGAAUUGCUUGAACCCAGAAGGCGGAGGUUGCAGUGAGCCAAGAUCACACCACCGCACUCCAGCCUGGGCGACAGAGGGAGACCCUGUCUCCAAAAAAAAAAGAAAAAAAAAAGAAAAGAAAAAUUAGCCAGGCAUAGUGGUGGGUGCCUAUAAUCCCAGCUACUUGGAAGGCUGAGGCAGGAGAAUCACUUGAAGCCAGGAGGUGGAGGUUGCAGUGAGCUGAGAUGGUGCCACUGCUCUCCAGCCUGUGCAACAGAGUGAGACUCCAUCUCAGUAAAUAAAUAAAUAAAUAAAUAAAUAAAUAAAUAAAUAAAGUGCUUAGAAUUUUCCUGGUACAUGGAAAAUGUUCAAUAAAUGUUAGCUGCUUUUAUUUUUAUUAGCAAAGGGAUAGAAAGUAUGGGAAUAUGUGGACAGGUGGAACAGUAGAGUUAGAUGCUGCUAUAAGUUUUUAAGAAGGGAUUCUGGAGCUCUUCCUACUGCCCCUGCAGGAAAGGGAAGAAUCGAAGAACCCAGAAAUGAAGUUUGAAGAUUAAAUGAAUAGGACAAGGACUGAUAGUUUAAUCCUAGCAUAGACAGUGGGCCCUAAGGCUCCAAAUGCCCCUCUUCCCAAUGCUUGAGUGCUGGCUACACACUCUGACCUGUCUAGAGACUUAGAUGCACUCUGGAGGAAGAGAGGGAGGAAGCAGUCACUUGACCACAUUUAACCUGAACUUAUUUACAGUAAAUCUCUGCCAUUAGGUUGGAUGGGCACUUGGGAUAGAAAUGAAAUUCAGUUAUACAAAAAUAAGUUACUUUAUAUAUUCAUUUUACAUGAGCUUAUGGCCUAUGAAAUUCAACUCGUUACAAUAUAAUUAUUGACUGAUAGCCUGAGGCACAAGAGGAGGGUGUGAAAGAAUGGAAGGAGUGGGAGGGAAUAAAAGAAAUAUUGGAAGGCAGCUCUUUGUUCACCUUACACAUGGGGCUAGAGCUCUGAUGUCCAAUAUGGUAGCCACUAGCUACAUGAGUCCGAUGACUACCAAAUUGGAAAACCUAGCUAUAGAAAUUUUCAGCAUUGCACUGUUCUAUUGGACAGUGCUGGGAAUGUUGAUUGGCCGUGCAUAGUGGGUGGCAGAGUGUAAACCCUGGUGCUGGAGGUCCAUCCUGAUAUCCUCAUUUUUGGUUCCCAAUAAAUGGGCUCAAACUGGUCCUCUGAAGGUCCUGGACAGCUGCUCACAUCCACACGGCCAUCCAAGUCUGUGUCUCAGGCUUCUGCUCCUUCCUCCUUCCUCUAGGGAGUAGCUGCCUGCAGCUCUAGCUCUUUAUCCCCUUUCUUACAACCUGCUCCUCCAAAGUCAUGCCCAGACUCAUGUCCUGGGUCUCCUUCCCAGGCUCUCAGGAGGCUUCAGUCAAGCUGGUCUAUUCGUUCUCUGUCAUCUGCCUAGACUGAAUUAAGGUAGCUGGCAGGCUCCCUGUAGUUGGAGGCAGACAGGGCACCCCCAGUUAGUUCCUCCUUACUCUCUGCUGGCUCAUAUUUCCUGUUUUUAAUAGCUAGGUCCCUGGGCCUAUCAAGGGGUGAUACAAGGCCUGUCUCUUCCCUCCCCCACCAUGCUUACUUUGAAAAGGGGGAAGUGGAACUGCUCAGUGUUCAUGAGCUGGGCUAAUAGCACCUUCUGUCAUGCAGCCCUCCCAGCCCUGAAACCUCCAGCUCUCAGUCCUACUCAGGUUCCCACACCCACCCCACAAAAAGCCUUGUCUGAGGCUUCCUCCAGAAUUGCAAGGUCUGGGGAGCUGGGUGCCACAGACCCAGAGGAAGUUUCCCUGCUCUGUUCUGUUUGUUUCUGUAGAGAUGAUGUGAACACCUCACUGCUAUCCAAGUUUCAUUCAAUGAAUAUUUGUUGGUCAUCUGGGCCUGACCCUGAGAUCACCAGGGUCUACAAGGCAGAUGAAAGCCCUGCUCCUUAGACAUCUGCCCUAGUCGGGGAGACAGACAACAAAGAAGAAAAAUGGGAUCCUGGUUGAGGAGUUGGUGGGGGGCAGAUUCUAAUAUUGGAGGUUCUUUUGGGUUGGAGGGAGCUGGGCGUGCUAGGCAGGGACAAGAUGGAAAGGAGAAAGGAGGUGUAUGCCUGACUGUGAGCUCCAUUAAGCCAGGGACUGUGCCCUAUUUGCCUUCCAUUGAUUCCUCAGUGAUUCCUUCCAUUGAUUCCAUUGAUUCCUCCUCAGAGCGGGAGCUCAUGAAGCACUGAAUGAAUGACCGACCAGUGCUGCUGAGAUAGGCGCAAAGCUGGGGGCUUCUGAGCUGGACUUGCCUCUGUGGUCCCCAUGGCUGCCCUUGUUGCAUGGGGCCUGGACCCCAGCCCCAGCCCAGCCAGCUUUGCUGCCACUUGGAUUCAUUCUCUGCAGUUUCCAAGUCUUUCCCUGAGCUAUGGCCUCCAACCUAUCCCAGCUCAGGGCCGGUACGUGUCUAGGCAGCUCUAUCCAGCUCUUUCCUCACUUGGCAAUUUGUGAAGUGGAGACAUCAAGUGGUCAGAUCCUGGAACGGCAGCAGUCGAGCUGUGGACACAGAGCAAAGGCUCCCGAGCCCUCCUGCCAGGCAGAGCCCUGAUGCAGCGAUGAUUAGUACUGGAUCCACACAGAACCUUAUCCUGGCUGAGCCCAGAUUCCAGCCAUAGAACGAACUCUAAUCCUGGUCACAGACUGAGACCUCCAACUCCUAAUUAGGGGUCUAAGAGGGGUACUCCUAAACAAUUCCCCUAAUUUUACAUUUGUACUGUAAUGAACUGAUACAACUUUAAAAACUUUUUUUUGGAAGGUUCACAUAUAUUCAGAAUUUUCCAUUCUAAACAUAUCCAUGCAACCAAUGCUCAUUGCUGGCAAUCCCAGACACCUUCAUCUUCAUACUUCCUUCUACUCGCUACCUCCCCAAGGGUAACAACUUCUAUAUAUUUGAAAUCAUACUGUAUAUUCUUUUCUUUUUUUUGAGACAGGGUCUCAUUCUGUCACCUAGGCUGGAGUGCAGUGGUAUGAUCUUGGCUCACUGCAACCUCUGCCUCCCAGGUUCAAGUGAUUCUCGUGCCUGAGUAGCUGGGACUACAUGUGUGCGCCACCACGCCCAGCUAAUUUUUUGUAUUUUUAGUGGAGACAGGGUUUCCAUCAUGUUGGCCACGCUGUGUAUAUUCUUUUCGGUGUCUGGCUUCUUCUGCCCAAUGUCAUGUUGGUGAAAUUCAUCCACAUUGAUAUGCGUCCUUGUUGAUUGGUUAUACUUGGUGUGCACAGUCAGCCCCCCGUAUCCAUGGAUUCUGCAUCCAUGGAUUCAACCAGCCACAGAUUAAAAACAUUUUUAAAAAAGUUGCAUCUAUACUGAACAUGUAGACUUUUUUCUUGUCAUUCUUUUUUUUUUUUUUGAGACGGAGUCUUACUCUUUCACCCAGGCUAGAGUGCAGUAGUGCAAUCUUGGGUCACUGCAACAUCCACCUCCCAGGUUUGGGUGAUUCUUCUGCCUCAGCCUCCCAGUGAGCUGGGAUUACAGGCAUCUGCCACCAUGCCUGGCUAAUUUUUGUAUUUUUAGUAUAGACAGGGUUUCACCAUGUUGGCCAGGCUGGUCUUGAACUCCUGACCUCAGGUGACCUGCCUGCCUUGGCCUCCCAAAGUUGCUGGGAUUACAGGCAUAAUCCACCACCCCCAGCCCUUGUCAUUCUUUUCUUUUCUUUCUUUCUUUCUUCUUUUUUUUUUUUUUUUUUUGAGACAGAGUCCUGUUCUGUCACCCAGGCUGGAGUGCAGUGGUGCAUCUCGGCUCACUGCAAGCUCUGCCUCCCGGGUUCGCCAUUCUCCUGCCUCAGCCUCCCGAGUAGCUGGGAUUACAGGAGCCCGCCACCACGCCCAGCUAAUUUUUUCUAUUUUUAGUAGAGACAGGGUUUCACUGUGUUAGCCAGGAUGGUCUCGAUCUCCUGACCUCGUGAUCCGUCCGCCUCGGCCUCCGAAAGUGCUGGCAUGAGCCACUGCACCCGGCAUGAGCCACUGCACCCGGCCCAUUAUUUUCUUAAAACACAGUAUAACAACUAUUUACAUAGCAUUUACAUUGUAUUAGGUAUUAUAAGCAAUCUAGAGAUGAUUUAAAGUUUAUGGGAGGAUGUGCAUAGGUUAUAUUCAAAUACAACACCAUUUUAUGUAAAAAACUUGAGAAUUCCUGAAUUUUUGUAUCUGUGGGAGUCCCGGAAUCAAUCCCCCAUGGAUAUUGAGGGAUAGCUGUAUUUUACUGUGUGAAUUUAUACUGCAACUUAGUUAUCUAUUCUAUUGUCAAUGAGCAUUUGGGUACUUCCAUUUGAAGGUUAUUGUAAGUAGUGCUGCCAUGGAUUUUGUAGCAUAUGUCAUUUGGUGAACAGAGCUUAGGCAUCUCUGUACCUAGAAGUGGAAUUGCUGGGUUAUGGGUUUUGUAUUGAUUUAGCUUCAUUAGUUGCUAAUAAAUAGUUUUCCGAAGUAGUUAUACCGAUUUACAUGCCCCACUCAGGGUAUGCCAAUUCCAGUUGUUCCAUACCAUUACAGUAUUCAUUCUAGACUUUUUGUCUUUUCUACUGUAGACUUUCUGGAUGAUGUGUACUGAUGAUAUCACUCUUGGAUGGGCCUGCAAUGCAGAUGAGCUUAUGUGCAGAUGUAUUGAUUUUAUUAUUAAUAAAUGGAAGGGAUUUUAAUGGAACUGGCCCUGCUAUCUUAUAAUUGACACUGAAAAGGGAUCCAGCUCAACAUUUCUAAAACCCAAAUAAAAGAUUUUAGUCAUUUAAGCAAAAAUUUGUAAAUCUCUCAAAUUCAUAAACUCAUAAGGGACUCCUUCUAUCACUU